rnacentral:rRNA from 1 species
UACAGAGGGUGCAAGCGUUGUUCGGAAUUACUGGGCGUAAAGGGCUCGUAGGCGGCCAACUAAGUCAGACGUGAAAUCCCUCGGCUUAACCGGGGAACUGCGGCUGAUACUGGAUGGCUUGAGUUUGGGAGAGGGAUGCGGAAUUCCAGGUGUAGCGGUGAAAUGCGUAGAUAUCUGGAGGAACACCGGUGGCGAAGGCGGCAUCCUGGGCCAACACUGACGCGGAGUGAGCGAAAGCCAGGGGAGCAAACGGG